CCGAAUGUGAGGUAUAGAGGCAACACUUGCAUAUUUCAUUGAUUGCGCGCUCAUAUAUGUCUUCUGGAAUGUAGAUAAGAAAUUCAUCUUUAAACCUCAUAUUAAACCCAUGUACAAUAAUUUUUUAACAUCCAUCAAUGUUUGUUGACAUUCUUUGAUAUUUUUUAAACGGUAUCUAACUUUAUUGUUACCAACAUUUGUUGACAUUGACCAAUAUUUUUCUUUAAAAUUUUUACAUUCGCCAACAUUAUUGCUCAACAAUUUUUUUACAUACACCAACUCUUUUUACACUUGCCAACAUUUUUUCUCAAUUUUUUUUUGACAUUCACUAACUUUUUUAUGUAAAAAAUGUUGAGAUAGUUCAUCUAAAAUGUUGAGAUAGUUCGUUGGGUCCUUAUAAGCUAAUUAUUGAACUAUUGCUGGGUUAUAGAUACUAGCUAUCUACUCCCUCC
rnacentral:lncRNA from 1 species